rnacentral:rRNA from 1 species
GAAACUAACAAGGAUUCCCCUAGUAACUGCGAGUGAAGCGGGAAAAGCUCAAAUUUAAAAUCUGGUGGUCUUCGGCCAUCCGAGUUGUAAUCUAGAGAAGUGUUACCCGCGUCGGACCGUGUACAAGUCUCCUGGAAUGGAGCGUCAUAGAGGGUGAGAAUCCCGUCUUUGACACGGACUACCGAGGCUUUGUGGUGCGCUCUCAAAGAGUCGAGUUGUUUGGGAAUGCAGCUCAAAAUGGGUGGUAAAUUCCAUCUAAAGCUAAAUAUUGGCGAGAGACCGAUAGCGAACAAGUACCGUGAGGGAAAGAUGAAAAGAACUUUGGAAAGAGAGUUAAACAGUACGUGAAAUUGCUGAAAGGGAAACGCUUGAAGUCAGUCGCGUUGGCCGGAAAUCAGCCUUGCUUUUGCUGGGUGUACUUUCUGGUUGACGGGCCAGCAUCAGUUUUGACCGGUGGAAAAAGUCCAAGGGAAUGUGGCAUCUUCGGAUGUGUUAUAGCCCUUGUUCGUAUACAUCGGUUGGGACUGAGGAACUCAGCAYGCCGAAAGGCCGGGUCUUUGACCACGUUCGUGCUUAGGAUGCUGGCAUAAUGGCUUUAAUCGACCCGUCUUGAAACACGGACCAAGGAGUCUAACAUGCCUGCGAGUGUUUGGGUGGAAAACCCGGACGCGCAAUGAAAGUGAAAGUUGAGAUCCUUGUCAUGGGGAGCAUCGACGCCCGGACCAGAAGUUUUCUGACGGCCCUGCGGUAGAGCAUGUAUGUUGGGACCCGAAAGAUGGUGAACUAUGCCUGAAUAGGGUGAAGCCAGAGGAAACUCUGGUGGAGGCUCGUAGCGAUUCUGACGUGCAAAUCGAUCGUCAAAUUUGGGUAUAGGGGCGAAAGACUAAUCGAACCAUCUAGUAGCUGGUC